rnacentral:rRNA from 1 species
AUGGAGAAUGGGAGGAUCCCUAGCGGCGCCGGAGGAGGAGGAGGCGGCGCGAGCGCGAGCGACCUCCAGAGAGCAGCGGCGACUCGCGCCCUCACCGACGCCGCCGCCCGCCUCGGCCUCCAGGCCACCGUCACCGACGUGGGUAGCACCGGCUGGCAGUGGCCGCCGCAGGAGCAGUUCCUCUUCGCGUGCGAGGACGGCGACCUGGACCGCCUCAAGGCCGUGGUAGAUGGCAUGGACGACGAUGACAGGGAGUCGCUUGCCUACGUGAGGUUCAGGGGCGUUGGGGCAUUGCAUUCCGCAGCAUCCAAGGGUGAUAUGGGGAUCUGCAAGUACUUGGUGGAGGAGCUUGGAUUUGAUGUCGACUCCGAGGCUGCUAAUCCCGGCUCUGGUGCGACGCCUUUGUCUUUUGCGGUGGGGCAUGGGGAAGUGAAUGCCACAAGGUAUUUUCUUGAAAAAGGUGCUGAUCCCAACAUAAAAGAUUCCUCCAACGGCACGACUCCUCUGCAUGAAGCAGUAGCAACAGGCUGUGAUGAAAUUGCACGACUGCUGCUAUCGAAAGGAGCUAAUGUUGAUGCACCUUCUCCUCAUGGGACACCUCUAGUUGCCGCUGCAGCUCAUGGGAAGUUCAGUGCUAUGAAGAUUUUGCUGGAGCACCAUGCAGAUCCGAAUAAAGUCUCAUGGGACCUUGGUACACCCCUGACCACAUCACUCUAUGUUACUCCUGAAAGAAUGAAUGGAUCCACUUGCUUAGAGUGCAUGAAACUUCUUGUCAAGGCUGGUGCGGAUGUCAAUUGUACAACUCCUGAAACUCCAUUGGCGAUAGCAACUAACAAUGGCUUAACCACAUGCGUUAAAUACUUGUUGGAGGUUGGCGCAAAUAUCAAUGUUCCAUCUAAGCAGGUUAAGAAAGGUGACAGUGAUAGCAAAGCUUCACUGAAAUCAAGUGUUGCAAAAGCUGCUGAAGGGAAGAACUAUGUUGCUGCAUCAAAAUUCUAUUCUGAGGACAAGUCAAGUGACAAAGAUAGGAAGGCUUGGCUGAAAUCACAAGGUGCAAAAGCAGUUGAGUGCAAGGACUAUGCUGCGGCAUCAAAAUUCUAUACGGAGGGGGGCGGUUGA